ACAAGGAUUCCCCUAGUAACUGCGAGUGAAGCGGGAAAAGCUCAAAUUUAAAAUCUGGUAGUUUUUUUGACUAUCCGAGUUGUAAUCUAGAGAAGUGUUAUCCGCGCUGGACCGUGUAUAAGUCUCCUGGAAUGGAGCGUCAUAGAGGGUGAGAAUCCCGUCUUUGACACGGACUGCCAGGGCUUUGUGAUGCACUCUCAAAGAGUCGAGUUGUUUGGGAAUGCAGCUCAAAAUGGGUGGUAAAUUCCAUCUAAAGCUAAAUAUUGGCGAGAGACCGAUAGCGAACAAGUACCGUGAGGGAAAGAUGAAAAGAACUUUGGAAAGAGAGUUAAACAGUACGUGAAAUUGCUGAAAGGGAAACGCUUGAAGUCAGUCGCGUUGUUCAGGAAUCAACCUUGCUAUUGCUUGGUGUACUUUCUGGUCAAUGGGUCAACAUCAAUUUUGAUCAUUGGAAAAAAUCUUGAGGGAAUGUGGCAUCUUUGGAUGUGUUAUAGCCCUUUAUUUGUAUACAAUGGUUGGGAUUGAGGAACUCAGCACGCCGCAAGGCCGGGUUUUAACAACUACGUACGUGCUUAGGAUGUUGGCAAAAUGUCUUUAAUCGACCCGUCUUGAAACACGGACCAAGGAGUCUAACAUAUCUGCAAGUAUUUGGGUGGCAAACCCGAGUGCGUAAUGAAAGUGAAAGUUGAGAUCCUUGUCAUGGGGAGCAUCGACGCCCAGACCAGACCUUUUGUGACGGUUCUGCGGUAGAGCAUGUAUGUUGGGACCCGAAAGAUGGUGAACUAUGCCUGAAUAGGGUGAAGCCAGAGGAAACUCUGGUGGAGGCUCGUAGCGAUUCUGACGUGCAAAUCGAUCGUCAAAUUUGGGUAUAGGGGCGAAAGACUAAUCGAACC
rnacentral:rRNA from 2 species